rnacentral:rRNA from 1 species
UACAGAGGUCUCAAGCGUUGUUCGGAUUCAUUGGGCGUAAAGGGUGCGUAGGCGGCGCGGCAAGUCGGGUGUGAAAUCUCGGGGCUUAACUCCGAAACUGCAUUCGAUACUGCCGUGCUUGAGGACUGGAGAGGAGACUGGAAUUUACGGUGUAGCGGUGAAAUGCGUAGAUAUCGUAAGGAAGACCAGUGGCGAAGGCGGGUCUCUGGGACGGUACUGACGCUGAGACGCGAAAGCGUGGGGAGCGAACAGG